CAGCACCUCAAGUGGUCAGGAUGAUUAUUGGGCCUAAAGCAUCCGUAGCCGGCGCUGUAAGUUUUCGGUUAAAUCUGUACGCUCAACGUACAGGCUGCCGGGAAUACUGCAGCGCUAGGGAGUGGGAGAGGUAGACGGUACUCGGUAGGAAGGGGUAAAAUCCUUUGAUCUAUUGAUGACCACCAGUGGCGAAGGCGGUCUACCAGAACACGUCCGACGGUGAGGGAUGAAAGCUGGGGGAGCAAACCGGAUUAGAUACCCGAGUAGUCC
rnacentral:rRNA from 1 species